AUUAAAAUAGGUUUCGAGUUUAGUUCAUAUUGGCAAUCUAAUUUCGAACAGACGUCAUAAUUGACGUUUAUGAUUUUGCUCUUGAUAGUUCGAACGAACAUAGUUUCUGAAUCAAUUUCUAACUCGAAUUAUGCUCGGGUUCGAAACGUUUGGCUAAGUGAAUGAACUAAGGUGAUUACAAUUAACUAUUACAAAGUGAUGGCUAAAACAGUUCCAAUCUACCUAAAGUGAUCUCAAUAUUACAGUCUAGUACAAUUUAAACAAUGCAAGUCAGUUUUUAAGAAAAUAUUCCCAAUGAAAUAACUAACAACCAACACAACUCAAGCAAUCUAAAGAUGGGCAACCACAGGUCAUUGGAAUUGAUUUCAACUACUCGAAUGAACAUGAAUCGGGAACAUUACUUCAAUUCACUCCAAUGGGAAGGUACAUAAGUGAUUUCAGAAUGUGUACCUGAAUUAAAAUGGCCAAAAGAAGCGAGAUGUCAACAACUAGUAAUAUCACAAGCAGCUGUGAGCUCACAACCAGAAACAAAUUCAAUACUUCUAGGAGAAUUUCAAAACCAGGCAGCAAACUAAAAUUCAACUUUCAAUUGACUCAGAAAUGAAUUCACAGUGCUUUUUGAAACCUCAAAAAAGCACACUCAUCGUCAAACCAACCUAAUUAGACCCAAAUUCAUCUGAAACAAACCUCUGAACCUUAAUCGUCAUAUUUUCAGCCAUUGAACUACCAGCUAGAUCAAACUACUCAAAUUCCGAAAGAAAAUUGAAAAUAGUCUAGAAAUAUGCCAUGAAACAGUACUUUGUUUUUGAAUUUUGGUGUUUUCCAUUGUUUUUGUGGUUUUUCCACCUUUGAUUUCAAAUCUGAAUCUAAGGACUAGAGAGUANNN
rnacentral:lncRNA from 1 species